rnacentral:rRNA from 1 species
UACGUAGGGGGCAAGCGUUGUCCGGAUUUAUUGGGCGUAAAGAGCGUGUAGGCGGCCAGGUAGGUCCGUUGUGAAAACUGGAGGCUUAACCUCCGAGCGGUCGAUGGAAACCAUCUGGCUAGAGUCCGGAAGAGGAGAGUGGAAUUCCGUGGUGUAGCGGUGAAAUGCGCAGAUAUCAGGAAGAACACCCGUGGCGAAGGCGGCUCUCUGGGACGGUACUGACGCUGAGACGCGAAAGCGUGGGGAGCGAACAGG